AGCGAACGCUGGCGGCAGGCCUAACACAUGCAAGUCGAACGAAGUCUUCGGACUUAGUGGCGGACGGGUGAGUAACACGUGGGAACGUGCCUUUAGGUUCGGAAUAACUCAGGGAAACUUGUGCUAAUACCGAAUGUGCCCUUCGGGGGAAAGAUUUAUCGCCUUUAGAGCGGCCCGCGUCUGGUUAGAUAGUUGGUGAGGUAAAGUCGAACCAAGGGGACGAUAAGUAGCUUGUCUGAGAGGAUGAGCAGCCACAUUGGGACUGAGACACGGCCCAAACUCCUACGGGAGGCAGCAGUGGGGAAUCUUGCGCAAUGGGCGAAAGCCUGACGCAGCCAUGCCGCGUGAAUGAUGAAGGUCUUAGGAUUGUAAAAUUCUUUCACCGGGGACGAUAAUGACGGUACCCGGAGAAGAAGCCCCGGCUAACUUCGUGCCAGCCGCCGCAGUAAGAC
rnacentral:rRNA from 1 species